AGAAUUACUUGGCAGAAGAGAUCCCAUUCUCAUGGGGUGCCUUCCCAGGGUGAGGAUUAUUCAUGGCAUUCGGAGCCUGCUGACCCCUGUAAUUAGCCAAGUGUGGGAGACCCACCCCCAUCAUUGGUGGCCUUGAUUUGUGAGUCUGCUUACUUAUUAG
rnacentral:snRNA from 14 species